AUGCUGCAGUACGCCGAUGACACCCUCAUCCUCUUUCAGGGUAGCACUCAGCAGGCCACCAUCAUCAAGCAUAUCCUGGCAUCCUUCUCGGUGUUCUCGGGCUUGCAGAUAAACUACCACAAGAGCACUUUGAUUCCGGUUUGCGUGGAUGACAGUACUACUACACAUAUUGCACAAUUGUUCGGCUGCCCAGUCUCAAGUUUUCCUUGCACCUACCUUGGCCUCCCGCUGUCUCUACACAAAAUCAAGCAUGGUUUGCUUCUGCCAGUAAUUCACAGGGUUGACAAAAGGUUGUCGGGCUGGUUGGCUACUUUUUUUGUCUUGGGGAGGUCGGCUCACCUUAAUUGA
rnacentral:rRNA from 1 species